rnacentral:rRNA from 1 species
GACGUAGGAUGCAAGCGUUGUCCGGAAUUAUUGGGCGUAAAGAGUUCGUAGGCGGUUACUUAAGUCUGGUGUUAAAGACGGGAGCUCAACUCCCGCAUGGCAUCGGAAACUGGGUGGCUAGAGUGCGGUAGAGGUCUCGGGAAUUCCAGGUGUAGCGGUGAAAUGCGUAGAUAUCUGGAGGAACACCGGUGGCGAAAGCGCGAGACUGGCCGUAACUGACGCUGAGGAACGAAAGCCAGGGGAGCGAAAGGG